UUACCUCUCCCGAUCCCUCGCAGCCUCGCUACCUAGUUCAACCCCGUCACCAGCCGCCGCCGCCGCCCAACCCCCAAUCCCCGAUCUGCCUCUCCACCCCAGGCCGACGUGGUGUUUCCUGCUGAUGACCCCCUCCUCAUGCCCUCGCUCUCCUCCUCCUCAAGAUAUCACCGUCGUCUCCUCGCCACCGACCCGAGGAGACACAUCCGCGGCGACCGCCGCCGACCUGAGGAGACAUCGCCGCGAAGCCGGCGAUCGUCGCCGUCGUGCGCCGCCGUCCCGCAUCGAUGCGUCAUCUCGGAUACGUCACAUAUCUGCACCCCACCGUCUUUUCCCGCCUGCUGCCGCCCUUCGCCCGACCUUCCUCCAUCGGUGAGACCUACCCCAGCCCCCCGGUGUCCUCCUCCGCUGCUGCCCUAACCUAGCCCUCCGCGGUCCUCCUACACUCCUGCCCUACCCCAACCCUCCGGGGUCCUCCUACAUUGUUGUUAGCCUGUCUGUUACAAGUGGUCAAGGUGGGCAAGGAGGAGAUGAAUCGGCAUGCCGGCCUUCUUACAAUCCCAUGCUCAUCUUGCCUCGCGACUCGAUUUGGAGCAACAACUGUGGAGUGUGGACGUGGCGAAGGGGACCUAUUGAUGUGUGCGUGUAAGAGGAUAUGGUGUUCCCAGCUUCCCGGCGGCGGGGUUCAUGGUAGGUCCUCAUACCUCCGCAUCAUCAUCAAAAGCAGGUCUGGCCCGACCCAUCCACCGUUGACAUCACAUGGCAUCUUAAAACUGAAAUUCAAACCAUGCAAUCUACUGUAUUUGUCACCGUUGUACGCCAGGUAGAGCUGCUGCAUGGAAGCCGCCGGUCGCCAAGAUCAGGACAUUGAGCACGCCGCCUCGUCGAUGCAUGAGCUGGUGCAGUUUUUAUCAGGCCGUGCGCAUCUUGCUAAGAAUUGUUGGUUUGGUUUGACCAUAUUGUUGGACAACAUUUUGUGAUUGCAUAGGAAAGUGUGUGCGGUUGCAAUAGCAGGACUAAGCUGAUGAUAAGCUUUUAUCAAUGAACGUCAACAUAAUUAUCAGUUUGAUUUAGGGGUAUGCACCUUGCACCAAUUUAGGUCCACAACCUCAGAAACAAAAAUGAAUUAAGUUCAGUCCAUAAAUCUGGAAAUUUAAUUGUUAAGUUUUAUCCCUGAAUUUUCCAUACAGUAAGGUAUUGAUGCUUAUUACAUCAGCCAUGCAGUAAGGUAUUGAUGCUUAUUACAUCAGCCAUGCAGUAAGGUAUUGAUGCUUAUUACAUCAGCCAUGCAGUAAGGUAUUGAUGCUUAUUCCAUCAGCCAUGCUAAUUACAGACCAACUGCAUUUAGCUCUUGUGAAAGACGUAGUGAACACACACACGCACGCACGUGCAUGCGCAUGUGCACACAGUCUAUAAAUGGAUUAUUUGUAAAUAAAAAAUAUACCAAGCAAAAGACAGUUGCAUGCAAGAAUUUCUUAGACGUGAUUAGUAUCUUCUAGAAGGGAGAUUAGUUUGUUGAUGGUACAUGAUGUUGUAUUUUUUUAUUGAUUGCUUUAUUGCUGCUGAAUAUUUGUGACAUUGGCAUGUUUGGCACUUGUUAUUGCGAGUCAUUAUUAGUUAUUGCUUGCCUUAUGCUUUAUCUCUUAAUCUUAUUAUGUGAGAACUUUAGCUUUGCUUUUCGUCUCUUUUUCAAUAAAAAAUUACUUUGAGUAAUGCUUAUUCCCCCACAAACUCUAUAUUGUACCAAUACAAAGUAAUUAAUAUGAGCAGAGAGGAGGAGGGUAGCAAGGAGCGAACAUGGGGACGGGUGGCUGGGGCAUUUCUCUUGCACGGGGAUGGGGAAUCUAGAGUAAUCCAAGACGGGAAAUGUCCGUGUUGCUCUUAGGAAGGAUACUAUAUUUUCUGUCAUUUACUUUUUCUACUCGGUCAUGGUUCGCUGCUACUCCAAGUAAGAACUAUGAUUUUGCAAUAGGUAGUAAGUACACCAUUUCUUGUGAAGCUUGUAAAAUUCUGCAUUUUGGAGUUCAAGAGCCGCUGGUUUGCUUUGGCCUCGAUCCAAACACGCCGUCAGACUUUGAGGCCAUGGGCUCGGCAAAUCAAGAUCGAGAUCGAGAUUGAGAGACACUAGGAAGCCUAACAUGGCAGGCUGGCUGGCUAGAGUAGCUUCAAUGUGUGUUUUCGUUCGCUCCAUUGUUUUGUGACCAAGCCCAUGGUAAAAUCUAGCCAAAAAAUUAUCCAUGGUAUGAUGCCCGAACCCAUCUACUUCAGUUAAUUUUAUUUAUGAACCUGCAUCUAUUUUGUUCACCUGGUUUGUAUCUUCCUAAAUUGUAGAGUCUUGGGUUGAUGCCAUGCGUAUAGAAGGCGGUCUCCUCAUGCAUCUAUUCAGCCAUGGGCUAAAACCUACAAAGUACAAACUAAACCAUGGCUAUCCACUAUGUCAAGCAAGCCCGGUUCUGAUAUCUAAUGCAGAUGGAGUCAAAAAAAUUAGUAGAAGAUAUUCUUAAUGGUGACAAGAAACUAAUACUUUCGUUCUAUGGAUACUUUCAUUCAUAUGUAGGUAAGCAGGUUAAUCUAAACAUGCCUUUCAGUAUCCCAUUACUCAUGGGUAAGCAGGUUAAUCUAAACAUGCCUUUCAGUAUCCCAUUACUCAUGUCAAAGUUUUAUAUUGUUAGAUUUCACCUUUGCUUGUAACUUUGUAUUAAAGAGCUGAAGUAAUGGAGCUUGAUGUUCAUUUU